AUUGAACGCUGGCGGCAGGCCUAACACAUGCAAGUCGAACGAGUGGCGGACGGGUGAGUAAUGUCUGGGAAACUGCCUGAUGGAGGGGGAUAACUACUGGAAACGGUAGCUAAUACCGCAUACCAUCGGAUGUGCCCAGAUGGGAUUAGCUAGUAGGUGGGGUAAAGGCUCACCUAGGCGACGAUCCCUAGCUGGUCUGAGAGGAUGACCAGCCACACUGGAAUUGAGCCACGGUCCGGUCUACUACGGGAGGCCGCAGUGGGGAAAAGUGCACAAGGGGCGCAAGCCUGAUGCAGCCAUGCCGCGUGUAUGAAGAGGGCCUUGGGGUUGUAAAGUACUUUCAGCGGGGAGGCGUUACCCGCAGAAGAAGCACCGGCUAACUCCGUGCCAGCAGCCGCGGUAAUAC
rnacentral:rRNA from 1 species